UCAGCGCCGAAGAAGCGAAAGUGACGGUAGGCGCAGAAGAAGCACCGGCUAACUACGUGCCAGCAGCCGCGGUAAUACGUAGGGUGCGAGCGUUGUCCGGAAUUAUUGGGCGUAAAGAGCUUGUAGGCGGUUUGUCGCGUCUGCUGUGAAAACCCAGGGCUUAACCCUGGGCCUGCAGUGGGUACGGGCAGACUAGAGUGUGGUAGGGGAGACUGGAAUUCCUGGUGUAGCGGUGAAAUGCGCAGAUAUCAGGAGGAACACCGAUGGCGAAGGCAGGUCUCUGGGCCACUACUGACGCUGAGAAGCGAAAGCAUGGGGAGCGAACAGGAUUAGAUACCCUGGUAGUCCAUGCCGUAAACGUUGGGCGCUAGGUGUGGGACUCAUUCCACGAGUUCCGUGCCGCAGCUAACGCAUUAAGCGCCCCGCCUGGGGAGUACGGCCGCAAGGCUAAAACUCAAAGGAAUUGACGGGGACCUGCACAAGCGGUGGAGCAUGUGGUUUAAUUCGAAGCAACGCGAAGAACCUUACCAGGCCUUGACAUGCCAGGAACCCCCAGGAGACUGGGGGGUGCCCUUCGGGGAGCCUGGACACAGGUGCUGCAUGGCUGUCGUCAGCUCGUG
rnacentral:rRNA from 1 species